rnacentral:rRNA from 1 species
CAAACUCCUACGGGAGGCAGCAGUAGGGAAUCUUCCACAAUGGACGAAAGUCUGAUGGAGCAAUGCCGCGUGAGUGAAGAAGGGUUUCGGCUCGUAAAACUCUGUUGUUAAAGAAGAACACCUUUGAGAGUAACUGUUCAAGGGUUGACGGUAUUUAACCAGAAAGCCACGGCUAACUACGUGCCAGCAGCCGCGGUAAUACGUAGGUGGCAAGCGUUGUCCGGAUUUAUUGGGCGUAAAGCGAGCGCAGGCGGUUUUUUAAGUCUGAUGUGAAAGCCUUCGGCUUAACCGGAGAAGUGCAUCGGAAACUGGGAGACUUGAGUGCAGAAGAGGACAGUGGAACUCCAUGUGUAGCGGUGGAAUGCGUAGAUAUAUGGAAGAACACCAGUGGCGAAGGCGGCUGUCUAGUCUGUAACUGACGCUGAGGCUCGAAAGCAUGGGUAGCGAACAGGAUUAGAUACCCUGGUAGUCCAUGCCGUAAACGAUGAAUGCUAAGUGUUGGAGGGUUUCCGCCCUUCAGUGCUGCAGCUAACGCAUUAAGCACUCCGCCUGGGGAGUACGACCGCAAGGUUGAAACUCAAAGGAAUUGACGGGGGCCCGCACAAGCGGUGGAACAUGUGGUUUAAUUCGAAGCUACGCGAAGAACCUUACCAGGUCUUGACAUCUUCUGCCAUCUUAGAAGAUAAGACGUUCCCUUCGGGGACAGAAUGACAGGUGGUGCAUGGUUGUCGUCAGCUCCUGUCAUGAGAUGUUGGGUUAAGUCCCGCAACAAGCGCAACCCUUAUUAUCAGUUGCCAGCAUUCAAUUGGGCACUCUGGUGAGACUGCCGGGGACAAACCGGAGAAAGG